rnacentral:RNase_P_RNA from 1 species
ACGAUCGGACGGCUGCGGCAUGAGCCGAGGAAAGUCCGAACACCACAGGACAGGAUGCCGGCUAACUACCGGUGGAGGCGACUCCAAGGAAAGUGCAACAGAAAUAUACCGCCGGGCUUCAUCGUCCGGUAAGGGUGGAACGGCGAGGCAAGAGCUCACCGGCCCCACGGUAACGCGGGGCGCCAUGUAAACCCCAUCCGGUGCAAGAUCGAGGGAAACGGGUCGUCCGCCCUCCCUCCCAUAUCGCUGGAACCGUACGGUAACGUGCGGUCGAGACAGAUAGCCGUCCCAGACAGAAUUCGGCUUACAGAUCGUUC